CCUUUCGAAAGAAAGAUUAAUACCCGAUAGCAAAGGAUUUCCGCAUGGAUAUCCUUUUAAAGGAUUCCGGUCAGCGAUGGGGAUGCGUUCCAUUAGAUAGUUGGCGGGGUAACGGCCCACCAAGUCGACGAUGGAUAGGGGUUCUGAGAGGAAGGUCCCCCACAUUGGAACUGAGACACGGUCCAAACUCCUACGGGAGGCAGCAGUGAGGAAUAUUGGUCAAUGGGCGAGAGCCUGAACCAGCCAAGUAGCGUGCAGGAAGACGGCCCUAUGGGUUGUAAACUGCUUUUAAGCGGGGAUAAAGUCAGGGACGUGUCCCUGUUUGCAGGUACCGCUUGAAUAAGGACCGGCUAAUUCCGUGCCAGCAGCCGCGGUAAUACGGAAGGUCCGGGCGUUAUCCGGAUUUAUUGGGUUUAAAGGGAGCGUAGGCGGGACUCCAAGUCAGCUGUGAAAUGCCAUGGCUCAACCAUGGAGCUGCAGUUGAAACUGGUGUUCUUGAGUUGUCGCAGGGGCGGUGGAACUCGUGGUGUAGCGGUGAAAUGCUUAGAUAUCACGAAGAACUCCGAUCGCGAAGGCAGCCGCCCGGUGGCCGACUGACGCUGAGGCUCGAAGGUGCGGGUAUCAAACAGGAUUAGAUACCCUGGUAGUCCGCACGGUAAACGUUGGAUACUCGCGGUUGGUUAUUAGUUAGUCAGCCGCCAAGCGAAAGUGUUAAGUAUCCCACCUGGGGAGUACGCCCGGCAACGGUGAAACUCAAAGGAAUUGACGG
rnacentral:rRNA from 1 species